rnacentral:rRNA from 1 species
UACGUAGGCAGCGAGCGUUGUUCGGAGUUACUGGGCGUAAAGAGUGCGUAGGCGGUUUUCUAAGUUUGGUGUGAAGUCUCCCGGCUUAACUGGGAGGGUGCGCCGAAGACUGGAAGGCUUGAGUAUGGGAGAGGUAAGCGGAAUUCCUGGUGUAGCGGUGAAAUGCGUAGAUAUCAGGAGGAACACCUGCGGUGUAGACGGCUUACUGGACCAUCACUGACGCUGAGGCACGAAAGCGUGGGUAGCAAACAGG